rnacentral:antisense_RNA from 1 species
CUUCAACGAGCCCAGAUACAGCGGCUGUUCGCGGUCCUGACCGUACGUGGCGAGGACGGCCUGCGCCUC